GAUGAACGCUGGCGGCGUGCCUAAUACAUGCAAGUCGAGCGAACAGACGAGGAGCUUGCUCCUCUGACGUUAGCGGCGGACGGGUGAGUAACACGUGGACAACCUACCUAUAAGACUGGGAUAACUUCGGGAAACCGGAGCUAAUACCGGAUAAUAUAUUGAACCGCAUGGUUCAAUAGUGAAAGACGGUAUUGCUGUCACUUAUAGAUGGAUCCGCGCCGCAUUAGCUAGUUGGUAAGGUAACGGCUUACCAAGGCAACGAUGCGUAGCCGACCUGAGAGGGUGAUCGGCCACACUGGAAAUGAGACACGGUCCAGACUCCUACGGGAGGCAGCAGUAGGGAAUCUUCCGCAAUGGGCGAAAGCCUGACGGAGCAACGCCGCGUGAGUGAUGAAGGUCUUCGGAUCGUAAAACUCUGUUAUUAGGGAAGAACAAAUGUGUAAGUAACUAUGCACGUCUUGACGGUACCUAAUCAGAAAGCCACGGCUAACUACGUG
rnacentral:rRNA from 1 species